rnacentral:rRNA from 1 species
UACGGAGGGUGCAAGCGUUGUCCGGAUUUAUUGGGUUUAAAGGGUGCGUAGGCGGCUUGAUAAGUCCGUGGUGAAAGCCAACAGCUCAACUGUUGAACUGCCAUGGAUACUGUCAGGCUUGAGUACAGACGAGGUAGGCGGAAUGGAUAGUGUAGCGGUGAAAUGCAUAGAUACUAUCCAGAACACCGAUUGCGAAGGCAGCUUACUAGACUGUAACUGACGCUGAGGCACGAAAGCGUGGGGAGCGAACAGG